rnacentral:lncRNA from 1 species
UAUUAAACAAGUAUUCAAACUUGUUGGGACUAAACCACAUUCUAAUCCGGUCUUCGCUUAAUCUUGCGUUUGAACCGUAAACCUUUCCUUAAAACUAAUCGGUCUAAGUUAAUACUUAAACAAGACCCGUUAGGAAUCUAAUAGGUUAAUAAAACCUUCGUUCCAGAUUAAGAGCCCCAGUAGAAGUACUUGUGCUUGCUGAUUAGGAUAUACGGCUGAGUAUAAAUUGCAUUUUAAGCUCAGGUGAAUACUCUUAACUUAUUUUCCCUAUAAGGGCUUAGGAUACGGUGUUAUAAUAAUACCGCUUGGUCGAGUAUUGAAUGUUUAAUCGUAUUGUACUAUACGUAAUUGGCUGAGAGCUCAGGGCGUCAAUAGGGAAUCUCGCAAGUUCUAGAUGCCUAAAGUCUGUUGAACAAUGUUAUCUUUCUGUUUUAAAGAUCCGCCUGUGGAUCCAACUUACAUUCCGUUGUAAUAAUUGAUAUUACUUUUGAAUCGGAUUGUAAUAUAUUUAUCUUU